AUGAACGCUGGCGGCGUGCCUAAUACAUGCAAGUCGAGCGAACGGACGAGAAGCUUGCUUCUCUGAUGUUAGCGGCGGACGGGUGAGUAACACGUGGAUAACCUACCUAUAAGACUGGGAUAACUUCGGGAAACCGGAGCUAAUACCGGAUAAUAUUUUGAACCGCAUGGUUCAAAAGUGAAAGACGGUCUUGCUGUCACUUAUAGAUGGAUCCGCGCUGCAUUAGCUAGUUGGUAAGGUAACGGCUUACCAAGGCAACGAUGCAUAGCCGACCUGAGAGGGUGAUCGGCCACACUGAAACUGAGACACGGUCCAGACUCCUACGGGAGGCAGCAGUAGGGAAUCUUCGCAAUGGGCGAAAGCCUGACGGAGCAACGCCGCGUGAGUGAUGAAGGUCUUCGGAUCGUAAAACUCUGUUAUUAGGGAAGAACAUAUGUGUAAGUAACUGUGCACAUCUUGACGGUACCUAAUCAGAAAGCCACGGCUAACUACGUG
rnacentral:rRNA from 1 species